rnacentral:tRNA from 1 species
GCCUUCGUGGUGUAGUGGUCAACACACUCGACGCGUAGCGUAACCGAGAGGUCCGUGGUUCGAUUCCCGGCGAAGGCG